GUGCUGGAUAUCCUCAAGCUGCCCCGUGUUACUAUUCCCAUCAGGACGGUCGGCACGCUCGGGACACAAUCCUCAUUCUCACUUUUAAACACAGCACAGCGUUAGGAUAAAGCCAGUGAUCGGUGUUUCUUUGCUGGUUGCCAUGGCAGCAGCAAGUGUGAGCGAAGUUACUGGCUGUGCUGUAAAUUGGUUUUCGCUCCCGGUUGCCGGCAGUCAGGGUGCAGGGACCCUUUCAGGUUCGCGUGGAGAGUAAUUGGAAUGAUGUCUCCGGGAGCACUGCGCUCUCCCGGAGCUCGAAUGGAUUUGAUUGGACGGUAGUGGUGUGAGACGACGGCCCUGGACGCACCUCAGAGGGGCUGCUAAUGGCGAGAACGAAGCGCAAAUCUACAGAGACAAAACAGUGGAUGGGUCACGGAGGGUCAGCACACCUACACGCACUGUUUGAUAAUGGCAGUUUGAGUGGAUGCAUAUGAGACGGCCAAGGAAGCAGCCAGAGACGAGCCCAUAUAAGGCAUCUUCCUGUUUCCUGGCUGAAUGCUAGGUCAAAUCACUCCAAACAAGCUGGAUUUCUGUGCUUUUUCUCAGGACCGGAAAGAAACAAAAUAAACCAUGCAAACUCCGCUGGGGAGUUUUCAAAGCCUGACCCACUUAUGCAGGAGAUGGUUGUAAAGACGUUGAGAUGCAUCUCUGCUUUGGGCAGAUCUGACUGUCCCAAAUUCUCAUUCUGCAACAGCAAUGAGCUGAGAGCAAAGCCAUCUGACAGAAUCAAACCGCAGAGAGAUCAUCCAACUUCAAGAGCUCAGGCUGCGGUAAGAGAUAAGUGAAAGAAUGACGAGAAUCUGAGAGUCUUUGCUAGUGGGUGGAGGGCGAACACAAAGUGCUCGGUGUCUCUGUCUCUCAGCCGGCACAUCGACCGAAUCGCAUUUAGAAUCGUUAAAAGUCAGACUCUUCUAAUAAAAAGGCAGUGAGAACAUGUUGAGAACAUAAACCAGUUGUUUCACUAUGAACUGGUUUAAGGUCAGUAAAUCUCUGGUUGGUUAGUGGCCAGCAGUUUCUGACUAACCUAUUUUGGGUCAAUAUCAGCAUGUGAUUUUGCUGGCUGUAGAACAGCACUUUAACUGCCUGCAGCUGGAUUUGAUGUGUCCCAAAAGCUCAACAUUUUGAUCAUUUGGAAUGGAGUAUAAUAUCCUCAGUGAUUGAAUGCUCUAGUGCAUUUUAGUCAUGGAGAACUAAGAAAGAGGAAUAGACAGACACUCAGAAAGAAUGGAAGACAGAGAGACUCUUGACUCUUAGAAGCCAGAGUAAUCACUGGACUAGUAAAACUCUGGACUGGGAAGAAGUUUAAACCUCUUUGCGUUAGUCUAUCAACUGCAGGAUUAGAGAUAGUUUGACCUGGUCAAAAGUGCACAAACUCCUCCCAAUCAUACACAAACUUUCCUCAGAAACCAAAUAGUAAUGUGUUUCCUGGAGGAAAAAAAAGUGAAUAAAUAAACACUUCCUGGUGAGUUGCAUGCUCCUUCAAUAGCAUGUAUCAUGCCAUUUCUCUUUUUCAAUGCUGUCUCAAUCAGGGUCCAAAAUUAGCACUGGCCAAGCACCAAAUGUGAGUAAAAAUUGUUUUUGGUGAGUAAAUAAGAAAACCAUUAUUUGCUCGUUGGCAGUACAUGAUUUAUAUGUAUAGUCAUAUCCUCACUGAUGUAAGUGAUGUGAGCGAACCUAUACGAACUGUUUUUAAAAAAUGUGCACGUCUUGUAUUUCAGUGAAAAACCUUGGAAAAAUCUAGGAGUCUUCAGAACGCAAUGUGGUGACACUUAUAUGGAGGAAUAGAGGAAUAUUAUAUAUAUAUAAGAUAUAUAUAUAUAUAUAUAUAAAUUUUUUUUUUUUUUUUUUUU